CCACCCGUCAUCGGGGAGUAGCCGACUCGCGCACAGGCCCGUCCAGGACGGCGCGCCAUGCGCGGGUGCAUGCGUCAACACGCUUGGCCGUCCGGCCAUGGCGCGCGCGGCCCGCCGGUAU
rnacentral:sRNA from 2 species